UUGAAAAGCCAAACGAGCCUGGUGAUAGCUGGUUGUCCAAUAAAUGAAUUUUAGUUCAACUUUAAACUCUUCAACCCACAAUCACCUAUUUGAUUACCUAAAAGUUUAAAAGAUAGUCAAUGAGGGCACAGCCUCAUUGACACAGGAAACAACCGCCCGUAGAGACUAAAAAUAUCUAACCAACCCAGUAGGCCCUUAAGCAGCCAACAAAAAUCUAAUGCGUUACAGCAACCAACUUACCCACAACAAUACCACAAUUCAACCCAACCUCCUAUUUUAAAUCGGACAAGCCUAUCUCAUAGGAAAACCCAUGUUAAAACUAGUAAUGAGAAAAAUUCUCUUAGCACAAGUAAAUAUUAACGGACACCAUCAUUUGGACCCAUAUAUUACACAAGAUAAACCACCCCCUCCCAACCGUUAGCCCAACCUAGGUGUGCACAAAGAAGAUUAAAAGUUACAAAAGGAACUCGGCAAUUCAAAGUCCCAACUGUUUACCAAAAACAUAGCCUUUAGCCCAACAAGUAUUAAAGGUGAUGCCUGCCCAGUGAUUCUUCAACGGCCGCGGGACCCUACACCGUGCAAAGGUAGCAUAAUCAUUUGUCAUCUAAAUAGUGACUAGUAUGAAUGGCCCAAUGAGGACUUUCCUGUCUCUUGUAACCAAUCAAUGAAACUGAUCUUUCAGUCCAAAAGCUGAAAUAUUUACACAAGACGAAAAGACCCUGUGGAACUUUAAGUGCUAAUCAACACAUGACACAGACACUUUUAGUUGGGGCAACUUUGGAACAAAACAAAACUUCCAAUACAAAGACCACCUCCGACAAACCAAGGCCCACACGCCAAUGUUUGCCUCUUAUACUGAUCCAGUACUACUGAUCAAAGAAACAAGCUACCCCAGGGAUAACAGCGCCAUCCCCUCUUAGAGUCCCAAUCGACGAGCGGGGCUUACGACCUCGAUGUUGGAUCAGGGCCCCCAAACAGUGCAGCAGCUGUUAAAGGUUUGUUUGUUCAACAAUUAAUGCCCUACGUGAUCUGAGUUCAGACCGGA
rnacentral:rRNA from 1 species